rnacentral:rRNA from 1 species
GACGAACGCUGGCGGCGUGCUUAACACAUGCAAGUCGAACGGAAAGGCCCUGCUUUUGUUGGGUGCUCGAGUGGCGAACGGGUGAGUAACACGUGAGUAACCUGCCCUUGACUUUGGGAUAACUUCAGGAAACUGGGGCUCAUACCGGAUAUGAGCUCCUGCUGCAUGUUGGGGGUUGGAAAGUUUCGGCGGUUGGGGAUGGACUCGCGGCUUAUCAGCUUGUUGGUGGGGUAGUGGCUUACCAAGGCUUUGACGGGUAGCCGGCCUGAGAGGGUGACCGGCCACAUUGGGACUGAGAUACGGCCCAGACUCCUACGGGAGGCAGCAGUGGGGAAUAUUGCACAAUGGGCGGAAGCCUGAUGCAGCAACGCCGCGUGCGGGAUGACGGCCUUCGGGUUGUAAACCGCUUUCGCCUGUGACGAAGCGUGAGUGACGGUAAUGGGUAAAGAAGCACCGGCUAACUACGUG